rnacentral:rRNA from 1 species
AUUGAACGCUGGCGGCAGGCCUAACACAUGCAAGUCGAACGAGUGGCGGACGGGUGAGUAAUGUCUGGGAAACUGCCUGAUGGAGGGGGAUAACUACUGGAAACGGUAGCUAAUACCGCAUACCAUCAGAUGUGCCCAGAUGGGUUUAGCUUGUUGGUGGGGUAACGGCUCACCAAGGCGACGAUCCCUAGCUGGUCUGAGAGGAUGACCAGCCACCCCGGAACUGAGAGACGGCCCAGACACCUACGGAAGGCAGCAGUGGGGAAUAUUGCACAAUGGGGGCGAGCCUGAUGCAGCCAGGCAGGGUGUAUGAAGGAGGCCUUCGGGUUGGAAAGUACUUUCAGCGGGGAGGCGUUACCCACAGAAGAAGCACCGGCUAACCCCGUGCCAGCGGCGGCGGUAAUA